ensembl:lncRNA
AAGGUCAAUGGGCACAGUGGGGCAAUCGUGUCUCAUGCCCGUCCUCUGAAGGUCAGAAGGUGGGCACUGUCCUCUUAAUGUCUCCUGAAUGACAAGGGCAAUCUAAGAUUUUCUACCUUCCUGCUCCACUGAACACGCAGAACUCAAUUGAAAGGCCACAACACAUUUAAGUGUCUGAAAUUAAAACUGAAGUCGAAGCAGCAGCAUCUUAUUACUUUUAAUCAGUGCAGUGCAUGAGAGCCCCUUUGGAGAAAUCAUUAUUUUACCUCUCUGCAUGGAAGGCCAAACUGCUUCCCUGCUUCCUCUGGUCUGAGAAAUGACAGAGACUCUUUAUUCUGUGUGUCCAUCAGAUUUGGGGCUGCCUUCAGCUUCUGCUGUGUCCAGGGCUUGGGUCAGAUUUCAUUCUUAGAGCUGCUUCUUUUGAGUCCCUCUUUCCCUGCCUCUCAGUUAAGGUGUUUGGAGGCAAACAAUCAAAACUGGUUUGAUCAGAAGGUAAUUGAUGAAAGGAUAUUGGGUUGCACACAGAAUCUCCAGCAAAGCUAAGGAGCAGACCUGGGAGCUGUCCUGCUGAAACAAUGCUCAAAAUCUCACCGAAGAACUGGAGGCAAUGCUGACACCUCAACUGCCCUCCCAGGCACAGCACCGCAGGCUGGCUGCACUGCUGAUGCUGAACAGUGGAGGCCAUGUCUGAUUUUCCCUGCAACAACCAUGAAAGGGACCACCGGCUGGCCCGCAGAUGAGACAUCCCUGUGGGGCAUCUGAGCCGUGCUGACCUCUGUCCUUGAUGGACAGAAGUGUGGCCCUGCUGUCCUUCCCCAUGCACCCUGGACCCAGUUCCCGACCCAACCCUCUCCUCGCCAAAGCUUUGAUGAGUCAGUUUUCAAUUCCUGGGUUGUGUGUGUGCCCGUUUUGGCUGAAGACUUUCCAUAGAAUGUCCAAUCUUUGUGCCUUUAUUUUCCUCCUGUGUCAUAAGGAGAGCAGCCUGCUGCUGCUCUGCUCCCUCGUUGCUUGCCUUAGUAACUUUCUUUUUCCUAAUGAGGCUUAAUUAUAAGU